GAUGAACGCUGGCGGCGUGCCUAAUACAUGCAAGUCGAGCGAACAGACGAGGAGCUGCUCCUCUGACGUUAGCGGCGGACGGGGGAGUAACACGUGGAUAACCUACCUAUAAGACUGGGAUAACUUCGGGAAACCGGAGCUAAUACCGGAUAAUAUAUUGAACCGCAUGGUUCAAUAGUGAAAGACGGUUUUGCUGUCACUUAUAGAUGGAUCCGCGCCGCAUUAGCUAGUUGGUAAGGUAACGGCUUACCAAGGCAACGAUGCGUAGCCGACCUGAGAGGGUGAUCGGCCACACUGGAAGUGAGACACGGUCCAGACUCCUACGGGAGGCAGCAGUAGGGAAUCUUACGCAAUGGGCGAAAGCCUGACGGAGCAACGCCGAGUGAGAGAUGAAGGUCUUCGGAUCGUAAAACUCUGUUAUUAGGGAAGAACAAAUGUGUAAGUAACUAUGCACGUAUUGACGGUAACUAAUCAGAAAGCCCCGGCUAACUACGUG
rnacentral:rRNA from 1 species